rnacentral:rRNA from 1 species
UGGGGAAUUUUGGACAAUGGGGGAAACCCUGAUCCAGCCAUCCCGCGUGUGCGAUGAAGUCCUUCGGGUUGUAAAGCACUUUUGGCAGGAAAGAAACGUCAUGGGUUAAUACCCCGUGAAACUGACGGUACCUGCAGAAUAAGCACCGGCUAACUACGUGCCAGCAGCCGCGGUAAUACGUAGGGUGCAAGCGUUAAUCGGAAUUACUGGGCGUAAAGCGUGCGCAGGCGGUUCGGAAAGAAAGAUGUGAAAUCCCAGAGCUCAACUUUGGAACUGCAUUUUUAACUACCGGGCUAGAGUGUGUCAGAGGGAGGUGGAAUUCCGCGUGUAGCAGUGAAAUGCGUAGAUAUGCGGAGGAACACCGAUGGCGAAGGCAGCCUCCUGGGAUAACACUGACGCUCAUGCACGAAAGCGUGGGGAGCAAACAGG